rnacentral:rRNA from 1 species
AGUAACGCGUGAGGAACCUGCCUCAAAGAGGGGGACAACAGUUGGAAACGACUGCUAAUACCGCAUAAGCCCACAGGUCGGCAUCGACCAGAGGGAAAAGGAGCAAUCCGCUUUGAGAUGGCCUCGCGUCUGAUUAGCUAGUUGGUGAGGUAAUGGCCCACCAAGGCAACGAUCGGUAGCCGGGCUGAGAGGUUGAACGGCCACAUUGGGACUGAGACACGGCCCAG